rnacentral:rRNA from 1 species
UACAGAGGUCCCAAGCGUUGUUCGGAUUCACUGGGCGUAAAGGGUACGUAGGUGGUGGAUUAAGUCGGGUGUGAAAUCUCCGGGCUCAACCCGGAGGGUGCGCCCGAAACUGAUCCGCUAGAGGGUGGGAGGGGAGACUGGAAUUCUCGGUGUAGCAGUGAAAUGCGUAGAUAUCGAGAGGAACACCGGUGGCGAAGGCGAGUCUCUGGACCACUCCUGACACUGAGGUUACGAAAGCCGGGGGAGCAAACAGG